UAGGGAAUCUUCGGCAAUGGACGGAAGUCUGACCGAGCAACGCCGCGUGAGUGAAGAAGGUUUUCGGAUCGUAAAGCUCUGUUGUUAGAGAAGAACGUUGGCAGGAGUGGAAAAUCUACCAAGUGACGGUAACUAACCAGAAAGGGACGGCUAACUACGUGCCAGCAGCCGCGGUAAUACGUAGGUCCCGAGCGUUGUCAGGAUUUAUUGGGCGUAAAGCGAGCGCAGGCGGUUCUUUAAGUCUGAAGUUAAAGGCAGUGGCUUAACCAUUGCACGCUUUGGAAACCGGAGGACUUGAGUGCAGAAGGGCAGAGUGGAAGUCCAUGUGUAGCGGUUAAAUGCGUAGAUAUAUGGAGGAACACCUGUGGCGAAAGCGGCUGUCUGGUCUGUAACUGACGCUGAGGCUAGAACGCGUGGGGAGCAACCAGG
rnacentral:rRNA from 1 species